GUCAGAGUGGGUACACAUAUCAUCAUAGAAUCGUAGAUUCGGCCCAUCGUGUCUGUGGCGGGGAUAAAGAGAGUGAACAAGAGGGGAUCGGUGAAGUGAAGAAGUUGCAGGGCAUGAGAGGGGAACAGGGGGAAGAUGGGUGGAUGCGGUAUGGAGAGGGGGAGCAGGAACACUGCAUCCUUGGCAUUCCUGUUGAUUCGGAAUCAGUGAAAUUAGUCAAUGUCAUUGGAAUGUCUCCAAACUCUUUCUGCGUUCGUGGCUGCACCCAUCGCCUGGACAUCUCAAGGUCAAUCUGUAGAAGAGCCAAUUCCCGAAGAACCCGACAAUGGUGGCCGUUGCUGCCUCUAAUGGCGAGAUGAAGAAACACAGAAACUGGAAACUAGCCUUGUGGGUGAGUUUUUUUUCUAACAAGAAAGCCAAACAAUGCCGCCAAACAACAA